rnacentral:rRNA from 1 species
UCAUAUGCUUGUCUCAAAGAUUAAGCCAUGCAUGUCUCAGUGCAAGCCGCACUAAGGUGAAACCGCGAAUGGCUCAUUAAAUCAGUUAUGGUUCCUUAGAUGGUGGACAGUUACUUGGAUAACUGUGGUAAUUCUAGAGCUAAUACAUGCAACUCGGUCCCGACCGGAAGCGGAAGGGACGCUUUUAUUAGAUCAAAACCAAUCGGGCGCUUGCGUCCGUUUGCCUUGGUGACUCUGAAUAAAUUGUGGCAGAUCGCACGGUCUCUGUACCGGCGACGCAUCUUUCAAAUGUCUGCCUUAUCAACUGUCGAUGGUAGGUUCUGCGCCUACCAUGGUUGUAACGGGUAACGGGGAAUCAGGGUUCGAUUCCGGAGAGGGAGCCUGAGAAACGGCUACCACAUCCAAGGAAGGCAGCAGGCGCGCAAAUUACCCACUCCCGGCACGGGGAGGUAGUGACGAAAAAUAACGAUACGGGACUCAUCCGAGGCCCCGUAAUCGGAAUGAGCACACUUUAAAUCCUUUAACGAGUAUCCAUUGGAGGGCAAGUCUGGUGCCAGCAGCCGCGGUAAUUCCAGCUCCAAUAGCGUAUAUUAAAGUUGUUGCGGUUAAAAAGCUCGUAGUCGGACUUGUGUCACACGCUGCCGGUUCACCGCCCGUCGGUGUUUAACUGGCAUGCACGUGCUGACGUCCUGCCGGUGGCCCAAGCCGGGCUGGGAGUUCUGGGUGCGGGAUUCCCUCGCGGGUCCCCACUCGUCCCCAGUCUCUGGGGAGGGCCUACUCAUACCCUUCGGGGUGCUCUUAACCGAGUGUCUCGAUGGGCCGGCACGUUUACUUUGAACAAAUUAGAGUGCUUAAAGCAGGCAGCAUCCGCCUGAAUACUGAGUGCAUGGAAUAAUGGAAUAGGACCUCGGUUCUAUUUUGUUGGUUUUCGGAAUCCCCGAGGUAAUGAUCAAUAGGGACAGACGGGGGCAUUCGUAUUGCGACGUUAGAGGUGAAAUUCUUGGAUCGUCGCAAGACGGACCGAAGCGAAAGCAUUUGCCAAGAAUGUUUUCUCUGAUCAAGAACGAAAGUUAGAGGUUCGAAGGCGAUCAGAUACCGCCCUAGUUCUAACCAUAAACGAUGCCAGCCAGCAAUCCGCCGAAGUUCCUCCGAUGACUCGGCGGGCGGCUUCCGGGAAACCAAAGCUUUUGGGUUCCGGGGGAAGUAUGGUUGCAAAGCUGAAACUUAAAGGAAUUGACGGAAGGGCACCACCAGGAGUGGAGCCUGCGGCUUAAUUUGACUCAACACGGGAAACCUCACCAGGCCCGGACACCGGGAGGAUUGACAGAUUGAGAGCUCUUUCUUGAUUCGGUGGGUGGUGGUGCAUGGCCGUUCUUAGUUGGUGGAGCGAUUUGUCUGGUUAAUUCCGAUAACGAACGAGACUCUAGCCUGCUAACUAGUCGCCUCCGUCAUCCUUUUGCGCUGACGGCGACUUAUAAUCUUCUUAGAGGGACAGGCGGCUUCUAGCCGCACGAGAUUGA